AAUUGUUGAUUAUUAAUUCAUGUUCCUUCACAAUCUUAUAUUAUUGUUGAACAUUGAAGGCAAUAUUUCUUUCUACGUCAUGAUAUAUCUCCUUUGUCUUUAUAAACUUGUGAAGCAAAUUAGUUGCUUACUCUUGCUAUAUCAUGACCUCUAUUUUAAGUUAAGCCCGUAGGAUCUAAUGCGAAGGACAAGGGCAAGGGCAAGAUCUAGGAGUAAUUUUAGAAUGAAUGUUAAAUUAGUUAUUAUCUAAUGGAAUUUCU
rnacentral:lncRNA from 1 species